rnacentral:lncRNA from 1 species
CUAAAGCCUGGGAACAGUGACCGGGCUGAGGGAUGGGGCAGGCUGGCCCUGGGAGGCCGAGGGGUCCAGGGGUUCCAUGCACUGCAGGUCACCCUGCUGCAUGGAUAGAUGGUGAAUUUAUAUUAUGAACUAAUCAUCAUGAGAACCCCAUAAGGAAGACCAUAUGGUUAUCCCCCUUGCACAGAUAUAUUGAGUCACUUACCCAAGAUCACACAGCUAAUUAACACCAGCGCCUAAUUCAAACUCAGGCAGCCUAGUUCUGAGGCAGCGCUAUUCAAUCAAUAUGCACUUAGGGAACAGGCGGCCAGGAAGUGCAGGUGGGCCCCACCCUUACCCCUGCUCUGUGCUGAGGCCGCUGCCGAGCUGUCUAUUCAGAGUCAGCUCCUCUGGUGCUGGAAGAUGCUGGCACUCAGUGCUCCAUCGCCUCUCAGUGAGCUGAUCAUGACAGGAGAAUGACAGAAAAUGACCAGGUGUUGCCACCCACCACUGUGAGGCUGGUGGUCCCUGUCCCUUAGAGAGGGCGAGCUGGGCUCAUGGGGAUGCAGAGGCAGCUGCCCUUUCCCACUGGGUGACCCUGGUGGAAAUCUGGGAGCUGAGGGUGUGGACUGCCUGCAGGGAGGCCUCACCUAAUACCUCUAAUAAAAGCACCCCUCGUGUGCCGGGCACUGACCUGGAAGUUGGAGUGACUCACUUGAGGCACCAGAAAUGCUCGCUGCAGUGCAGAUGUUAGGACCUGGGUUCAGAAAGCAGAUCCCUAAAUGAGCCUCUGGGGUCCACGGCUUCUGGUCCACGUGCCCACGGCUUGGUGAGGUCUGGGAGGUCUCCCUGAGGGAGGCAGGACUUGAGUGGGACCGUGAAGGGCAGAAAUAACCUGAAAAGUGGGGACAAGGCAGAGGAUAGAGAAAUGGAGGGAGGGAAGGCCUCCCAGGGCACAGUCCUUCUCGGAGGCCCCGAGACAUGCCUUCUCCCCAGUUACCCUCCAAUAAAGGGAAUGCAGCACCACAAGAAGACUCAGUGGCACCAUCCCUGGCUGCAGAGGGGCCACCCAGCUGCUCACGGUGUCCUCACUCCAUUCUCAUUCUUUGCCUAAUGCUGAUGUCUCGCAUGGAAUAUUUUUCUUAUCUACUUUGAUAAGACAUGGAGGUCAGAAGAAAAUAGUUCUCAAACCAGAGUUGGCCUAAAACACUACACAGGCUGUAAACCACAGAUUUCCUUCUGCAUACCAUCCCUGCUUCCUCUUCCCAUCACUAACAGUGAACAAGUCCAAGAGGGGAUUAAGAAAACAAUUCUAUUUACAACAGCAUCAAAAAGAAUAAACAUUUGGAAAUAAAAUUCACCAGCAAGGAGAAAGACUUGGACACCAAAACAUUAAAAAAAUACCGGCCGGGCGCGGUGGCUCACGCCUGUAAUCCCAGCACUUUGGGAGGCCGAGGUGGGCAGAUCACAAGGUCAGGAGAUCGAGACCACGGUGAAGCCCCGUCUCUACUAAAAAUCCAAAAAAAUUAGCUGGGCGCGGUGGCGGGCGCCUGUAGUCCCAGCUACUCGGGAGGCUGAGGCCAGAGAAUGGCGUGAACCCGGGAGGCGGAGCUUGCAGUGAGCCGAGAUAAAGAAAUUAAAAGAUUUCCUUUGUUCAUGAAUUGGAAGACUUAAUAUUGAUAAUGUGUCAAAACUAACAAGAGUGAUCUACAGAUGCAAUGCAAUCUCUAUCAAAAUCCCAAAGGGAUUUGCUGCAGAAAUAGCAGGAUUCAUCCUAAAAAUUAAAAAAUGUCAAAGGACACGAAUAGACAUUUCUACAAAGAAGAUAUACAAAGGGUCAAUAAGCACAUGAAAAGAUGUUCAGCAUCACUAAUCAUUAGGGAAAAGCAAAUCAAAACCACACUGAGAUACCGCCUCACAUCCAUUAGGAUGGCUACUAUUAGACAAACAAACAAAACCCAGGAGUCAUAAGUGUUAAUGAGCAUGUAUGGAAAUUGGAACCCUUGAGCACCAUUGGUAGAACUGUAAAAUGGUGAAGCCACUACGGGAAAUAAUAUGGUGGUUCUUAAAAAAAUAAAAUAAAAUUAGAAUAAAAGGAAAAGUAGAAUUGCCAUUUAAUCUAGCAAUUCCACUUCUGGGUGUAUAACCAAAAGAAUUGAAAUUAGUGUCUCAAAGAGACAUUGGUAACCCCAUGUUCCUAGCAGCACCAUUCAGAUCCCAGGUCCUGUAAAUUCUUUCCCACUGGGGAAAGAAUUUGUCCUACAGGAAGGCUGAGGAAAGGCUCUGCUGAGUCUAUCUUCGCUUUGUUUUUUGCAAGAAAAGUUUUCCUUUUGUGAAAACUUAUCAUACAGAUUGGGCCAUUCUUGUCACACCCAACUAAAACACAGUCAAGAAUCCAGUGGGGAUAGCACCCAGAGCACAAUACAUUGCUCCAAAAAUGUAAUUAUCUGUAGGCCUAGCAGCUGAAACUGCCUGCAGUAGCCUGAAACCAGUUUUAUCUAAGACUCCUGAAAUGACCUGCUGCAACUCUCAGACUAGCUUUGCCCAUGGCUGUCACUUCCCAAUCAGAGCUUGCCAGCUACUCAGAACCUUACUAGUGCUGGUGAAAUUUCUCAAAGAGCAAUGCAUAACAUUUCUUCUUUCUAUAAAACCUCUGACCUUCUAUUUGUUCUUCAGAGAGAGCACUUUUGAUUCACGCUGGAAACUCUCUCCAUCAGUUUGGU